rnacentral:rRNA from 1 species
GACGAACGCUGGCGGCGUGCUUAACACAUGCAAGUCGAACGAUGAAGCUGGAGCUUGCUCCGGUGGAUUAGUGGCGAACGGGUGAGUAACACGUGAGCAAUCUGCCCUUGACUCUGGGAUAACUGCGGGAAACUGUAGCUAAUACCGGAUACUUUCACUGGAAGGCAUCUUCUGGUGAAGAAAGAAUUUCGGUCAAGGAUGAGCUCGCGGCCUAUCAGCUUGUUGGUGAGGUAACGGCUCACCAAGGCGACGACGGGUAGCAGGCCUGAGAGGGUGACCAGCCACACUGGGACUGAGACACGGCCCAGACUCCUACGGGAGGCAGCAGUGGGGAAUAUUGGACAAUGGGCGCAAGCCUGAUGCAGCAACGCCGCGUGAGGGAUGAAGGCCUUCGGGUUGUAAACCUCUUUUAGCAGGGAAGAAGCGAAAGUGACGGUACCUGCAGAAAAAGCACCGGCUAACUACGUGCCAGCCGCCGCCGUAA